UGAAGAGUCAGUAUCUUACUGUUGUGUGCCCAUAAAAAGGUUCAGUUAACAGAGACAAGAGAAAUACUCCUUUGAUUUUUCCCAUUAUAUGAGCAAUGCAUGCUCAUUAUCACUUGUUAAAACUACAUGGUACAUAAAGAAAAAAAAGUUAGAUUUAUAGAUUAAUAGUAACAUGGAAUAAAUCCCUAACAUUCUCUCUUCCGUAUCCUUCUCUGAAAUUAUAAAAUGGAGAUGAAGAAGUUUCAACAUCGGGACCAUAAUUCAAUUCUCUCCUAACUACUGAUUACAAUUGUGGUGGAGAAAAAGGUGUUCCUGGAGAAAGAAAGAAGACCAGAUAUUAGAGUGGGAAAGAAAAGAACAUUGAAUUAAAACAAACGGUAACAGCACGGCCACAGGGGGAUAGAGCACCAAGUGGGCCUGUGGGAUCGCCAAUUCCAGAACUUGACCCUUGGAUGGCAUUUCUGGAUCUGCGAUGGGGAAGACAGGAGCCCAUUGUCCUGAAAGGAUGUGUUCGCAAUUUUACCACUGCUUGAAGAACAGAAUGCUUAACAAGUUCCCAUCGUAAGGAUUAUCUGGAGGACACUGCAAAGAACUCCACCAGAGGAAAUAUUCAUCCCUCCAGACUUCAAACAAUUAAGAGCUAAUGCUUAAUUACUAGUUUGUACUCAUUAGAAGCGAGACUAUGGGAUGUAGUCAAGAAAUAUAAGGCAUUGUUUCUGCCCUCGGAGAGUCUAUAAUUUGAAGAAUAAAACAAACAUUAAAUGAUUACAAAAUAUUAUAUAUACUAAAAUAUGUAAAACAUAUAUUAUUAAAGAACCUUUGCUAGAGUGAGUUGUCUUUAAAUGUGAAAAAAGGAAAUAACUACAAUUAUUAAUCAACUAAGAUUUGCUAAUUAGGUCACACAACAUCUCUUUGAGUUAACUAGUGUUUUCUCUAAGGUACACUUCAGGGAGGUGUGCCCAUUUACACUGGCAUUAUAUGGCUUUAAGAACUUGAACCCAGGACUUGACAACUUCUUAGAAUCUUUCUCCCAAUCAUGAUCUAGCUAACUAUUCUGAAAUUCACUUAACUUCAAGUAGUGCCAGUUUACUCAAUGAUAUCUCUAUUAUGAUUUAAAUUAUUUCAUCCUCUCUUCUAGCAAAAUACCUAACUUUUAAUGGGAUUUUUGUCUUUAAUU
rnacentral:lncRNA from 1 species